rnacentral:rRNA from 1 species
GAGCUAAUACAUGUACCUCGGGUGGGAUUUCGGUUCCAUCAUGGCAUUUAUUAGAGCGAUACCGACCGUGUGAGCAAUCACGCGAGGUGAAUCUAGAUAACUGUGCAGAUCGUAUGGCCUUGAGCUGACGACAUUUCGAUUGAGUUUCUGCCCUAUCAACCAGUUGCAAGCGUAAGGUACUUGCAAAGUGUUUACGGGUGACGGGGGAUCAGGGUUCGAUUCCGGAGAGGGAGCCUGAGAAACGGCUACCACAUCCAAGGAAGGCAGCAGGCGCGCAAAUUACCCAAUCCAAAAAAUGGGAGGUGGUGACGAAAAGUACUAGGUGGCGGCUAGUCCGCCAGCCUGGAAUGAAUGCAAUUUAAGCAAUUGAAUUGAGUAACGACUGGAGGGCAAGUCUGGUGCCAGCAGCCGCGGUAAUUCCAGCUCCAGUAGCCUACCUCAACGUUGCUGCGCUUAAAACGCUCGUAGUUGGAUCACGCACUGUGCGUUGGUGUGUAGUCGUGUGCGUAAGUGCYGGGUUUGCAAUCUGUAASUGCGAAGUCACGGGGGCUAUUAGCCGACGCACAGUAAUUUCACGUGAGGAUGGCAGUUGGCCUUGAGUGUGUCGAUUGUCGUGUCUCACGGGGUGUGCCUUGAGUAAAUCAGAGUGCUCAAAGCAGGCGAAUGCCUGAAUGUUUGAUAGCAUGGAACGAACAAUAGUGUAUGGUGUGUGUUGAAGCCGGUGCGUCAUUUGACCACUGCAACAUACGACACCGACCACCAAUUACGGAUGUUGGUUCCGUAUUGGGGUACUGAUUAAGAGGAGCGGUUGGGGGCAUUGGUAUUUGGCAGCGAGAGGUGAAAUUCUGGGACCUGCCAAGGACUAACAAAUGCGAAGGCAUUUGUCCAGACCGUAUCCAUUAAUCAAGAACGAAAGUGAGAGGUUCGAAAGCGAUCAGAUACCGCCCUAGUUCUCACUGUAAACGAUGCCGACCCGGGAUCAGUUUGGAGCUAUUUUCCACGCUCGAGGUUGGUCCCCCUGGGAAACCUUAAGUCUUUCGGUUGCGGGGGGAGUAUGGUCGCAAGGCUGAAACUUAAAGGAAUUGACGGAAGGGCACCACCAGGGGUGGAGCCUGCGGCUUAAUUUGACUCAACACGGGAAAACUUACCUGGUCCGGACAUCAAAAGGAUAGACAGACUAAUAGAUCUUUCUUGAUAUGGUGAUUGGUGGUGCAUGGCCGUUCUUAGUUCGUGGAGUGAUCUGUCAGGUUAAUUCCGAUAACGAGCGAGACCACUGUCUUCAAUUGAGGAGCCAGGGAAGGUUAAGGAUGGCGGACGCAGCAAUGUGAAAACCAUUCCAAGGCUGAAGGAAUUGCGUAUGAAGUGGCCGAGCAGAGGGGCAACCCGAUGUGAAGCGCGGAUGCGUAAUCCCCCUGGCCAAACAGUGCGUUGCCUUCCAGGCGGCGUAUUGUGUCAUGGAGAGACAACGGAACAUAUAUAAAAAUCCGAGGAAGUGUGGCUAUAACAGGUCUGUGAUGCCCUUAGAUGUUCAGGGCUGCACGCGCGCUACAAUGACGAUGACAACGAGUUUCUGGAUCGAAAGAUUCGGGUAAUCUUACAAUCAUCGUCGUGAUGGGGAUUGAUGUUUGUAAAUACAUCAUGAAAGAGGAAUCCCUAGUACACGUAGUUCAUUAAACUGCGUGGAUUUAGUCCCUGCCCUUUGUACACACCGC